CUCCUGCCUCAGCCUCCUGAGUAGCUGUGAUUACAGGCAUGAGCCACCAUGCCUGGCUAAUUUUGUAUUUUUAUUAGAGAUGAGGGUUUCCUCCGUGUUGGUCAGGCUGGUCUCGAACUCCUCACCUCAGGUCAUCUGCCCACCUCAGCCUCCCAAAAUGGUGGGAUUGCAGGUGUGAACCACCAUGUGUGGCCUAUCCAUUCUUAUUUUCUUUAGAUAAUUUUUUAGUGGUAGAAUUGCAAAGUGAAAGGUUAUGUUCACUUUUGAAUAUAUGCUGCCAAACUGCUCCUUUCCUGUCAACCAGCCGUUGUAACAUGAGCAGCCAAGGGGAACUGCUGCAAUGCUGAGGAAGAGAAGAAAAGAUGAGAUGCAGUGAAAGGAGUCAGGGAGGCGGGGGCGAGGAGGAGCCAUCCCCAGCAGCAGCCCCCUGUCUGUUGUUUAGCACCAGGGAUCCUUGAUUUGCAGCAGGCUAAGGGGACAUUACAAGUCAUGUCAUCUAAAGUUACUGAUGUUAAAUAAAUGCUAACUUUUCUUUUUUUUUGAGACGAAGUUUCGCUCUUGUUACCCAGGCUGGAGUGCAAUGGCGCGAUCUCGGCUCACCGCAACCUCCGCCUCCUGGGUUCAGGCAAUUCUCCUGCCUCAGCCUCCCGAGUAGCUGGGAUUACAGGCAUGCGCCACCAUGCCCAGCUAAUGUUUUGUAUUUUUAGUAGAGACGGGGUUUCACCAUGUUGACCAGGAUGGUCUCGAUCUCUUGACCUCGUGAUCCACCCGCCUCGGCAUCCCAAAGUGCUGGGAUUACAGGCGUGAGCCACCGUGCCCGGCCAAAUGCUAACUUUUCAUUUGCUUCAAAUUAAAAAAAUAAUGCCUGCCUUUAUUGUCUUUCUCUGCUAAGCCAAGCCUGAGGCUUGUUACAGCUUUUUCCAUGUAGAAAUGUUAGAUGAAAUUCCAGUGCCAUCAAAUGAGACCUUUAUUCUUCCACCUGCACAUUAUGACUCUAAUAAACACGUUAUCAACUCAUGAAAAUGAUGGCAAACAGGUGACUGAAGGAUUUGAUAAGUCAGCAGCAAAGAUGAACAGUUCUUUUCAGAGAAAGCUGUGAGAGGUUCCCCUAUUUAAAACAAUCGUGGCACGUGAAUUUGGAGCACUUAAAUCAUUAUUGGCAAUUAGGCCUUGUCAAAAAGGUUGCAGCUGGCUUCAAUUACAGAAGGCAGCAGAGCACAACACAGAGUUGAAUGAGAACCGCGAAACGAGCGAAUUCGUAUAGCAGCGUAAACGCUGACCAGGCAGCAUCGCACUUCUUCAGGCCUGCAAGUCCUGUGGGUCGUUCAUUUUUUUGUUGUUAUUGAUGUUGACGGGGGAUGGGAUGGGCCAUUCCCACGAUAGCAUUACAGGUUUCAGACUCUGUUACCUUGAUCGAUGCGAUAGCCGCUUCCUACCUGAUCCUCUGCUAGCGUCUCCUCACAGUGUUCUGAGGUUCCUACAGUCUCUCCUAGCAUCAGCCACUGCCUCUGUGCUGAAAAUUCUCCAUCUCUAGUCCCGAUCUCCAGGUGGCCUACCUGGAGGGAUGGCCCAGACCUCAUGCCUCCAUCACAUCCUCCUCUGGCCAUGGCAGCUGCUCUUGUCCAUUCACCAUCAAGUGUGGAUGAGGGAGUCUGAGGCAACCCCUCGAUGGGUCUCCUGAGUGCCGAAUGGAGUCUUCCCUGUCCGCGUCACGCAGCAGCUUUAUCCUCCUGAGAAUGCUCCUGCCUUCCCUCAGGCUGGCACUUCCUUUCCUUGCCUACUGGAUGCUUGCUGCAAGGGGCCCAGAGUGCAGACGCAGGCCACUUUUGGGAGCCUGAUGUCUGUUUUAGUGUAUCCAGAGUGGUAGGACACGAUGACAUACAGACUCCUGGAGUGGGAGUAAUGGUGUGGCUGCUCCUACAUUCAGCCCAUUGUUUCAGAAUCUACGUGUUCUACCUACUGGGGACAUAGUACUAUUUGAUGAUCAUUGAUUUUGCUGCGUGCCAUUCUUGCAGUGGAUCAGCUUACAAGCUGCCAUUUCAAUUACAUCUUUUUUUUUUUUUUUCUUUUUAGAUAGAGUCUCACUCUAUCACCCAGGCUGGAGUGCAGUGGUGCAGUCUCAACUCACUGCAACCUCUGCCUCCUGUUUUGAAGCAAUUCUCUUGUUUCAGCCUCCAGAGCAGCUGGGAUUAUAGGCAUACACCACCACACCUGGCUAAUUUUUGUAAUUUUAGUAGAGACAGUUUCACCAUGUUGGCCAGGCUGGUCUUGAACUCCUGGCCUAGAUUACAGGCAUGAGCUACUGUGCCCAGCCUCAGCUACAUUUUUGAAAGACAGUUUCAUGGUUUUUAUCAGGCCAGCUGCUUUCUGGAGGGUGGUAGGUCCCAAAAGGAUGGCCAUGGAUCUCAUGAUCCCGCCUCUGUUGCAAGGUAGGACGCUUGGUCUGAUGCAUUGUUUUGUAGGGUUCUGUGCUGGCAAAUCAAACAUGCCAUGGUCCCUGGGGCAGUGGAGCUGGCCGAAGCCCUUGGGCAGGAAAGGUCAGACUGUAAGCGGGUGAUGCCUUGAUUCUAGUCAACAAACUGCGUGUUGUGUCAGCACCAUGGUGGCAGUGACAGGGGCCGGCAGCACCUGGCCAGCUGUAUCCUUGACUGCUUCGUUCUUCCCAGCGGUGCUUGUGCUCCAGUGAGUGUACUCUGCACCCAUGUCCUGCACCCAUCACGUGCUGCUCCCCUGAGCUUGCCUCAAUCUUCGGAUCUGGCUUUCUUCUCCCAAGCAGCCUGCCAGGUGUCCCACAUGAAUGCAGCCUGUUCUGGUUCUCCUUCCUGAUAAGGGUGGAAAAGAAUGCGUUCACCUGGAACAGGCUGCAUUUCUGGGCCAGAGGCCACUGAGCUCACCUGCACCAGGAAAGCUGCUCCCCGCUGGUUACAAACAGCAACUGCCUGGAGGAAGGGACUCCUGGAAGCAAAGAUGCCUAGAGCCCACCAAAGCCAUAAUGAGACCAGGUCCUCAAGACUUCAUAUAUUUCGAUACAGCCAGUGAGGCUUGAUCCUACCUGGACAUGAAAGACGUCUGGGCAGUUUUUGAAUAAAGCCUACCUAGGUUCACACCAUUCUUUGGGAUUCUGAAUUAAUGUGUCUGGGGUGGGGUGGGGGCACUGGUUAUUUAAAGCUGCUUAGGUUAUUUGAAUGCAAGGUCAGGACUGGAAACUACUGGUCUAGAUGCUUCUCAUACUCCAUCUUACGCACCACCAGUCACCUGAGAGCUUGUUGAAAUGCAGGCCCUGAUUCGGAUCCGUUGGCCUGGGGGAAAGGGCCAAGACCCUGCAUUUUUGACAAGCUCUCCGCUAUGGUUAGGGCGAAGCUGCUGCCUCCUGGCCCACCCUUCCGCAGCAGGGGUCUGGAGUGUGGGGUCUGCACAGAAUUGAUGCCAUUCGUUGCCUGCGGGCUCUGGAGCCUUAUGAACACAGCAGCUGCUGUUUAUUGACCACCCACUAAGUAUGCCUUGCACACCAUUUCUCAUGUCACAACCGCCUCAUGAGGGAGGUAGCCCUGUCUCUAUUUUACAGGUGAAAUAAUUGAGGUCCAGAGAAGUUAAGAUGAGAACCUAAGAAUCCACAGAGAUUAAGUGGUGGUGCUGGGACUCGAAUAAGGCCUGAGAAACGUCAGGUCCAUGAUCUUCCCCAGCACCAACCUGCCCUCAACAGCUGGAGUAGUCUUCCUUACAGAGGGCAUGACUUACAGAGGCCCCCCCUUAUAGAGGCCAGUACUGCACACCUGCACUGGAGAGGUCAGGGCAUUCCUGCCCAUGGCUCAAGAGAACCACACUUAAAAAGAGUGAAAACAGGCCCGGCAUGGUGGCUCAUGCCUGUAAUCCCUGCCCUUUGGGAGGCCAAGAUGGGAGGAUCACUUGAGCUCAGGAGUAUCAGCCUGUUCAACAUGAUAAAACCCUGUCUCUAAAAAUUAAAUAUACAAAAAAUAAAACGAGAAUAAUAAAACUAUAUACAAAAAAUAAAACUAACAUACAAAAUAAAACAAAACUAAAAAUACACACACACACACACAAAAUACACACACACACACACACACACACACAAUAGCUGGGCAUGUUGCCACACACCUGUGAUCCCAACUGCUUGAGAAGCUGAGGCGGGAGAAUCACUUGAACCUGGCAGGUGGAGGCUACAGUGAGCUGAGAUCCUGCCACUGCACUCAAGCCUGGGCAACAGAGCAAGACUGUCAAAAAAAAAAAAAAAAAAAAAGUGAAAACAGAAAAGUUAAAAGUGAAAGCAAAGUGCAUAGUUUAUGUUACUUUCGACGUCUCCUAACUCCAGUCUCUCUUGCAUCCGAAUGCUCAGCUGAUCUCCCGAACAUGGCUCUAAUAGCAUCUCUCCCGGUGUAAGAGGAGUCUCUGUGCUGAUGACGCACUCGCUAGACUGUCUGACUAGUGAUCAAGGCCUUGUACUGUCUGGCUUUACCCCCACGUAAACUCACUCACAUUCACUCACUCAUUCAGUGGACGUUUGUUGAGUGUCUACCCUGACCUAAGUCUCCUCCAUGCUGGAACUCUUGUGUUGUUGGAGGGGCCAGAGAUGUUUGGAUGAGAAAUAAACACAUAACUUACCAUGUAUUCCUUCCCCGUGAAACUUACUUUUCUUGCCAUCAUUUUAACAACAUAAUGA